ACAAAUUAAGGGUUUAUUAAGAGUUUGAAAGAACCCGUACAAUAUCCAUGUGAUCAGUUUUGUGCUGUCUCAUUUCGAGACACAUACAAAACAGCUCAGUAGAGAAAUAUUACUUUAUCAGAUAAAAACCAAUAGGUUAAUAGAAAGUAUUAACAUGAUAUAACAUAAUCCUAAAUAAUUGCAAUAGAUCAACUAAGUGCAAUAUCGCUUCCAUAUUACAUAGCCUAUAUAAAUCAUGUUCCAAAUAUAAUAUGCUAUUAAAAAGUUAGCACAUUUCAAAUGACGGACAAGGCUAUGAUGUCUUGAAUGGUCUAUGGGAUCGUUGUUUAUGAUUACGUGAAAAUAACUUUCCUUGGUUUAACUUCUAUUUCGUCGUUUACUUAACUCUUCCAGCUUUAGAUCCAUGUGCCAGUAGCCCAUGUCAAAACGGGGGAACUUGUAAUUCUCCGGGACCAAGUCUUCCCUUCACCUGUAACUGCCCAGUCGGGUACACAGGCCAGCUGUGUCAAUCAGCUUUAGAUCCAUGUGCCAGUAGCCCAUGUCAAAACGGGGGAACUUGUAAUUCUCCGGGACCAAGUCUUCCCUUCACCUGUAACUGCCCAGUCGGGUACACAGGCCAGCUGUGUCAAUCAGCUUUAGAUCCAUGUGCCAGUAGCCCAUGUCAGAACGGGGGAACCUGUAAUUCUCCGGG